rnacentral:rRNA from 1 species
CCUACGGGCGGCAGCAGUGGGGAAUAUUGCACAAUGGGGGAAACCCUGAUGCAGCGACGCCGCGUGAGUGAAGAAGUAUUUCGGUAUGUAAAGCUCUAUCAGCAGGGAAGAUAAUGACGGUACCUGACUAAGAAGCCCCGGCUAACUACGUGCCAGCAGCCGCGGUAAUACGUAGGGGGCAAGCGUUAUCCGGAUUUACUGGGUGUAAAGGGUGCGUAGGUGGCAGGGCAAGUCAGAUGUGAAAGCCCGGGGCUCAACCCCGGUACUGCAUUUGAAACUGUCCAGCUGGAGUGCAGGAGAGGUAAGCGGAAUUCCUAGUGUAGCGGUGAAAUGCGUAGAUAUCAGGAGGAACACCGGCGGCGAAGGCGGCCUGCUGGACCGCGACUGACGUUGAGGCUCGAAAGCGUGGGGAGCGAACAGGAUUAGAUACCCUAGUAGUC